ensembl:snRNA U6 U6 spliceosomal RNA
CUGCUUACUUGUACAGCAGGUAUGCUAAAAUUGGCACUGUACAGAGAAGGUCAGCAUUGGCUCAACGAAAGGAUGCCAUGUGAAUUUCAUAAGAGCCAUAGUUUUAU